rnacentral:tRNA from 1 species
CCCUCGAUAGCUCAGUUGGUAGAGCGGAGGACUGUAGGUCCUUAUGUCGCUGGUUCAAAUCCGGCUCGAGGGA